CCGACUUUAGCUCAGUUGGUAGAGCGGAGGACUGUAGUUUGAUUAAUCUAAAUUGGAAAUCCUUAGGUCGCUGUUCUGAAUCCGGCAGGUCGGA
rnacentral:tRNA from 1 species